rfam:Brassica napus, WGS project CCCW01000000 data, contig: 3857
GGAAGUUAAGAAACUGCUUCUUAACUUUUAACUAAAAAAGAUAAGAACCGGUUCUUAAAUAAGGACUUUAAGAACCGGUUCUUAGCCUUUUUAGUUAAAAGUUAAGAAACAGUUUCUUAACUUCC